rnacentral:rRNA from 1 species
UGGGGAAUAUUGCGCAAUGGGGGGAACCCUGACGCAGCCAUGUCGCGUGAAUGAAGAAGGCCUUAGGGUUGUAAAGUUCUUUCGAUAUUGAGGAAGGUUGAUGUGUUAAUAGCACAUCAAAUUGACGUUAAAUACAGAAGAAGCACCGGCUAACUCCGUGCCAGCAGCCGCGGUAAUACGGAGGGUGCGAGCGUUAAUCGGAAUAACUGGGCGUAAAGGGCACGCAGGCGGUUAUUUAAGUGAGGUGUGAAAGCCCCGGGCUUAACCUGGGAAUUGCAUUUCAGACUGGGUAACUAGAGUACUUUAGGGAGGGGUAGAAUUCCACGUGUAGCGGUGAAAUGCGUAGAGAUGUGGAGGAAUACCGAAGGCGAAGGCAGCCCCUUGGGAAUGUACUGACGCUCAUGUGCGAAAGCGUGGGGAGCAAACAGGAUUAGAUACCCUGGUAGUCCACGCUGUAAACGCUGUCGAUUUGGGGGUUGGGGUUUAACUCUGGCGCCCGUAGCUAACGUGAUAAAUCGACCGCCUGGGGAGUACGGCCGCAAGGUUA